UGCGCGAGUCAUUGGGACUAGCGAAACCUAAAGGCGCAAUGAAAGUGAAGGUCGGCCUCGCGCUGGCCGAGGGAGGAUGGGUGGCGGUAUACGCCGCCCCGCACUCCCGGGGCGUCUCGUUCUCAUCGCGAGAAGAGGCGCACCCAGAGCGUACACGCUGGGACCCGAAAGAUGGAGAACUAUGCCUGGUCAGGACGAAGUCAGGGGAAACCCUGAUGGAGGUCCGUAGCGAUUCUGACGUGCAAAUCGAUCGUCGGAACUGGGUAUAGCGGCGAAAGACUAAUCGAUCUAUCUAGUAGCUGGUUCCCUCCGAAGUUUCCCUCAGGAUAGCUGGCGCUCGCUUUGCGAGUCUCAUCCGGUAAAGCGAAUGAUUAGAGGCAUUGGGGUCGAAACGGCCUCAACCUAUUCUCAAACUUUAAAUGGGUGAGAUCUCCGGCUUGCUCGAACUUGAAGCCGCGAGAAUAUUACAAGGAUCAGAGUGCCAAGUGGGCCACUUUUGGUAAGCAGAACUGGCGCUGUGGGAUGAACCAAACGCCGAGUUAAAGCGCCUAAAUCGACGCUUAUGGGAUACCAUGAAAGGCGUUG
rnacentral:rRNA from 1 species